rnacentral:rRNA from 1 species
AACGAACGCUGGCGGCAUGCCUAACACAUGCAAGUCGAACGAGACCUUCGGGUCUAGUGGCGCACGGGUGCGUAACGCGUGGGAACCUGCCCUUAGGUUCGGAAUAACUCCCCGAAAGGGGUGCUAAUACCGGUUAAUGUCUUCGGACCAAAGAUUUAUCGCCUUUGGAUGGGCCCGCGUUGGUUUCGCUAGUUGGUAGGGUAAAAGCCUACCAAGGCGACGAUCCAUAGCUGGUCGGAGAGGAGGACCAGCCACACUGGGACUGAGACACGGCCCAGACUGCGACGGGAGGCAGCAGUGGGGAAUAUUGGACAAGGGGCGAAAGCCUGAUCCAGCAACGCCGCGUGAGUGAGGAAGGCCUUAGGGUUGUAAAGCCCUUUGACCCGGGAUGAUAGUGACAGUACCGGGAGAAUAAGCACCGGCUAACUCCGUG